CGCCCAGAGGGAGAGAGAGACUCUCUCUCUCCCCCUCUUUCUAUCUGCUUUCUCUCUCUCUCCCUCUGUUCUCUCUCUCUCUCUCCCCCUCUCUUUGUCUGCUCUCUCUCUUUCUCCCUCUGUUCUCUCUCUCCUUCCCUCUCUCUCGCGCGCGAGGACCCCUAAAAUGCUGGGAGGGCGCCGUACAAACUCAAGAAUUAUAAGUUUUAUAGAUUAUCUCUCUUCCUUAUUUUUUUUAAUAAAUACAGCUUGCCUUCGGCAACUUGCAUUACCCACUAAAAAAUAUGUGAAUAUAUUUCUCCCUCCAUAUUGUUCAUAUGUGAUACUGGAGCUAGGGUUUGGGAUGGUAUGUGACGGUGCAGUUAGAUAGACAUGUUCUCAUGGCAGUAGCAUUGUGUUACGGUUAUCUUUUUAUUUAGACUCUUAUUAUUUAGUUUUCAAAUGUUGGCAGCUGUGGAUUUGUAAGAAAUUAACCGGCACAUAAUAACGCAGCGGAAAAUAAUUUUGCACUUUUAAUUUUUCGGAAGCCAAAUACAUAUUGUUGGGAACUAGAUGGAUCGUCCGUCAUGCGCUACCAACAAAGAUGCACCAAAAAAUAGAGAAAACACCGAACGAACGGUAAAAGAAAUAAAUGCAGAAAGAAAAAAAUCAAGAUUUACGUGGUUCGACAAUUGCCUACGUCCACAGGGAGAGCGAGAGAGAUGUAUU
rnacentral:lncRNA from 1 species